GCCUAACACAUGCAAGUCGAACGGAUUGAAGGGGCUUGCUCCUUCAGUUAGUGGCGCACGGGUGAGUAACGCGUAGAUAAUCUGCCUGAUGAUCCGGGAUAACAGUUCGAAAGGACUGCUAAUACCGGAUAAGCCCACGUGGUCUUUGGACCGUGCGGGAAAAGGGGGGGACCUUCGGGCCAUUCUGUCAUCAGAUGAGUCUGCGUACCAUUAGCUAGUUGGUAGGGUAAAGGCCUACCAAGGCUACGAUGGUUAGCUGGUUUGAGAGAAUGAUCAGCCACACUGGAACUGAGACACGGUCCAGACUCCUACGGGAGGCAGCAGUGGGGAAUUUUGCGCAAUGGGCGAAAGCCUGACGCAGCAACGCCGCGUGAGUGAUGAAGGCUUUCGGGUCGUAAAGCUCUGUCGAGGGGAAAGAAGUGUACGGGGGCUAAUAUCCCCUGUACUUGACGGUACCCCUAAAGGAAGCACCGGCUAACUCCGUGCCAGCAGCCGCGGUAAUACGGGGGGUGCAAGCGUUGUUCGGAAUUAUUGGGCGUAAAGAGCGUGUA
rnacentral:rRNA from 1 species